UGCACAUGAUGUUUCUCACGAUGGUCUUCAUAUUCCCUUAUAUCAGGGAUGCUGACAAUGCUUUUAAGCACUUCACUGAUGUAAUCUU